rnacentral:rRNA from 1 species
AUGGUAGUGUGCGUCGAAGGUCUGGGUGUACCCCGUAGAUCUGGGAUGUUCGGGCAUGCGCUGAAUGCUGUUACAUUUGUCAGCGAAGAGAAAAUCGCCGCCAAAUUGGAGCACUUGAAGAAAACGUUCAGGUGGUCGGAUGCUGAGGUGCGCAUUGCUAUUUCUAAGGCUCCAAUGGUGCUGAAUAGGGCUAAGGAGUUUCUGCAGAGAAAGUCAGAGUUCCUGAUCUCUGAUUUGGGGUUGGAGCCGGCAUACAUUGCUCAUCGCCCGGUAAUGCUUUUGUACAGCCUGGAGGGCCGGUUAAGGCCCCGGUGCUACGUUGUGAAGUUUCUUAAGGCAAAUGGAUUGCUAGGUCCUGAUCGAGACUUGUAUUCCGCAGUCGCAUUGAGUGAGAAGUUAUUCAUAGAGAAGUACAUAUGCCCUCACAAGGAAGCUGCACCCUGCUUAGCUGAAGACUAUGCUGAUGCUUGCAAAGGGCUAGUGCCAACUAAUUUCAGAAUUACAUGA